CAUGACAUCAUUUCAAGUGGGGAAGAUAAGUCCAGAGAGACUCUACAGGUUGAUUGAGGGCUCUUUGAAAGUGAUGUCUUCUCAAACGAUCUGAGAGUGAGUAGAAACCAAAUAUUUUAACAUUUGCAGAUGAUAUGUGAGGGUGAGUGUUAUAAACACCAGUCAUAACUAAGGCAAAAUUUUUAAGGCCCACAGGGAAUUGAAAAAUGUGGAAGACGUAACAAAUGAGGUUCAACUUGGAAAGUAUGAGCUGACAUAUCAGGGGAAGAAUACUCUGAAGCAGAGACCAACAGAAGGAAACUAAAGUUGAAGACGUAAAAGGAUUCUGCUAAGGAAUGUUUUAAAGUCUACAUAGUUUCCAAGGUACUUAUAUCUGCAGGGAGAUUAUCACUCAGAAUCGAGUAGAUUUCUCUUCCGAAAAGAAACCAGAAAAUGUGAAAAAAUAUAUGGGUAGAAAGAAGUGAAACUUUGACAUGAAGCAAGCUAAUGAGCCAGGACUCCUGUAUUACAUAAUUUCAAGAGGCAUCAUUUACACUGCAGUCCAAGUCAAUGGCACUCCUGGAGGUUUUGCAGUUCACAACCUGCACAACCAAACUUGGCAGCUCCGAAAAGAAUCCCUGCUGCUGAAUGAGAUCUCAGGACUUUUCCUAAACAUGCUUAUUCAAAUGUCCAUGAGGACUGAAAGAUGAAACAUUGCAUUUUUUAUUAUAAUAAAACUAAAAAACAUAAAACCAGUUAUAUAGUUUUUGUCAAUU
rnacentral:lncRNA from 1 species